GAAAAACUAGAGGUUCAGGCCCAGAGUUCGUGUUCCUACCCUCAUAACAAUGUUCAAUCUUUUAAUCAAGAGGUUUUUCUUUUGGGCACCGUUCUUGUUAGGAUUCAUUGGCUCUUAUUUUUCUCUUAUUUUUUAUGGCUCUUUUGAGCACACUUUUUUCCAACCUCAAUACUUCUAGAUAAGUGCUUCAUGAUACUUCUCAUAAUUUUUUCAUUUCUCUUUUUUUUUUUUUCUGAAGUUUUGUCCUUUUCUAUUUUUUCUGCACUUAUCUAAUCUUCAUCAGUGUCCCUAAAAAAUGAAGAAACCCCAAACUUAGGAUUUUCCACAGAUCCG
rnacentral:lncRNA from 1 species